rnacentral:tRNA from 1 species
GCGGGUAUAGUUUAGUGGCAGAACGACAGGUUCCCAACCUGUCAGUGCGGGUUCGAUUCCCGCUACCCGCU